AUUCCUUGUCGGGUAAGUUCCGACCUGCACGAAUGGCGUAAUGAUGGCCAGGCUGUCUCCACCCGAGACUCAGUGAAAUUGAACUCGCUGUGAAGAUGCAGUGUACCCGCGGCAAGACGGAAAGACCCCGUGAACCUUUACUACAGCUUGACACUGAACAUUGAGCCUUGAUGUGUAGGAUAGGUGGGAGGCUUUGAAGCGUGGACGCCAGUCUGCGUGGAGCCAACCUUGAAAUACCACCCUUUAAUGUUUGAUGUUCUAACCUGGCGCCC
rnacentral:rRNA from 1 species